GAUGAAGAACGCAGCGAAAUGCGAUAAGUAAUGUGAAUUGCAGAAUUCAGUGAAUCAUCGAAUCUUUGAACGCACAUUGCGCCCCUUGGUAUUCCGAGGGGCAUGCCUGUUCGAGCGUCAUUAUAACCCCUCAAGCUCAGCUUGGUGUUGGGGCCUGCUGCACUGGCAGCCCUUAAAAUCAGUGGCGGCGCCAUCUGGCUCUAAGCGUAGUAAUUCUUCUCGCUAUGGAGUCCUGGUGGAUGCUUGCCAUCAACCCCCAAUUUUUCUAUGGUUGACCUCGGAUCAGGUAGGGAUACCCGCUGAACUUAAGCAUGUCAAUAAGCGGAGGA
rnacentral:misc_RNA from 1 species